rnacentral:lncRNA from 1 species
GUUUCUGAGAAUGGAAGUGAGCAGAGAUGAUGUGCAGCAGCUCCUGGCAAGGCUUUGGAAGAGUGAGUGGGGCUUCAUCUUGUGCUCCUCCUUCUAAACAUGAGCAGAGGCCUUGUGGGACCUUGGACCACCAUAGCAAUGAGAUAGAAGGCUCGUCUUCGGCUGCCAGCUCUCUGUGUAAGCCUGGAGUGAAGACAUGACCCGACCUCUAAAGGAGUUAGCCCCACCGCACAAGAAUGGCAGGACCACACAGACCGAACAAGAUGUCCCUCGGAGAUUCAGUGUCGGUGACUGAUGCCUCACAUGGCAGCAGCAGAUCCACCCUGCCUCCAGGCACGGAGGAUAGACUGACUCACAGGAGAGUGGUGGUAUCUGCUGGAUCCCCAAGAUUUCACCAGCUUCUGAGAGCAGCUGGAUAACUAGAGUAACUAGAGUGUCUCCCAUUCCUUAGAAUAGGUUUUGUCUUCCCAAACAGUAAUCAUGCAUUCCUACCUGACCAUGGGAUUUUUGCACCCAGAAACUAAAGCAGUUGAGUCCUACAAGAACUCAUCAGGAAGGCAGUAGGCAGGCUGUGCAUCCAGCCAGCCAUGUUGGGCCUCCAGAGAUAAAUGCGAACUGACAUUCUUCUACAGUUCUGCUUGGCAUUCAUCGGGCUCUUGGGAAGUAUUUGUUAAAUAUGUGGGGUUUGUUUUAAGAUGAGAAUCAUGGUUGGAAUGCAGAUCAGUUGUCAAAUGCUUGCUUAGAGUUCACAGGGCACUGAAUAGGUCUGAUCACCAGUAGGAAAGAGAUGUAGAUAGGAGAGAGGGAGGAGGAGGAUUUGAUCACGAAAUGAGGGCAUCCAAAAAUUAUACCCACUGUCAUUAUCAUUGCAUGAAACAAAAUAUUCUAUAAUCAGCAACAUAGGAAGGCUGGGGCUGAGGUUCAGUUGGUAGAGUUCGAGCAAGGCAUGCAGGAAGCUCUGGGUUCAAUGCCCAGCACUACAUAAAGCAGGCAUGACCAGGCACACCUGCAAUCCUAGCAUUCAGGAGGUAGAAGCAAGAUCAGAAACUCAAGGCCAUCCUUAGCUAACGUCUUGGUUACUUUCAGCUGUGAUUAACAAGAUGCCAGAACUACCAAAGCAAAAACUUUGCAUUACUGGGACUAUUGAUGCUGGUUAGCUGGAGCUAAGAAAUUAGCGGUGAUUAAGAAGAGACCAGUGUCCCUGAGGUAGUCUCAACUGCAGCAUCAGCCUGUGGGAGUUUCUGCAAUUGUCUUGAUUUUCAGUUGACAUGGGAGGGCUAAAUGAAACCUGGGAGCAAAGGGUAACCAGUGGUCCUAAGUGGUUUUGGCUUUAGUUGCUGCUUGAGUUCCUGCCCUGACUUCCUCAGUGAUGGGACUGUGACCUGGAAGUGUAAGGUGAAAUAAUUCUUUCCUCCUCUAAAUUAAUUUUUGGCCAUGGUGUUUAUCACAGCAGCCCAAAGCAAAGUAGAAUGGUUAUGUAGUGAGUCCAAGGCCUGUUGGAAUUCCAUGAAAAUAUUUCUCAAAACUCAAAAGUACCACCCCAGUGAGAGAAAGAGACAGACAGAAAAUGAAAGAGGAUUAAUAUAAUCUACAAAUAUCUUAGGCAGGUAUGCGCUGGACACUCUGAAUAACACACACCCUGUGUUUGUGUUUUCCUGGUUGUCCUUCAGUGGUGACCCCAUGGAGGCUGCCACAGGCUAUGCCCCUGUGAAUAGAAGUGUCGGGUACCAGAAAGGUGGUGCAGCCUAGGCCCUGGUUCUGCCUUGCCCUGCAUUGUUUCUGUCAGCUGCCAGGCCACAAUCCACGUUUGCAGCUAUGGAAUAGGAACCUCAUAAAGGCUCUUCAUCCUUUAACACUGUGAAGCAGAUAUUCCCAGAGUGCCACCCAAGAACACUUGCUGUGGCCCUAGUUUGGUCUUCAGGAACCAGAGGCUAUGAAGAGAGUGGAAAGCCAUGUGUGGGAACGAUAUGGCUUCAGUCACCAGCUCUGUUCCCCUCCACCAUGGUGUGGUAACUCAGAGCUCCAAGCUAAACCUGGAUCCCUGCUGUGUCAAAUGAAGGAAGCUGGUGAAGAGCCUGUGCCAGAUCAGAAGCACAUGUGAGCCCAAGUUACAGACUGUAUACUAAGCUAGUGCUUGUUUCUAUU